rnacentral:rRNA from 1 species
GACGAACGCUGGCGGCGUGCUUAACACAUGCAAGUCGAACGGAAAGGCCCUGCUUUUGUGGGGUGCUCGAGUGGCGAACGGGUGAGUAACACGUGAGCAACCUGCCCUUGACUUUGGGAUAACUUCAGGAAACUGGGGCUAAUACCGGAUAGGAGCUCCUGCUGCAUGGUGGGGGUUGGAAAGUUUCGGCGGUUGGGGAUGGACUCGCGGCUUAUCAGCUUGUUGGUGGGGUAGUGGCUUACCAAGGCUUUGACGGGUAGCCGGCCUGAGAGGGUGACCGGCCACAUUGGGACUGAGAUACGGCCCAGACUCCUACGGGAGGCAGCAGUGGGGAAUAUUGCACAAUGGGCGGAAGCCUGAUGCAGCAACGCCGCGUGCGGGAUGACGGCCUUCGGGUUGUAAACCGCUUUCGCCUGUGACGAAGCGUGAGUGACGGUAAUGGGUAAAGAAGCACCGGCUAACUACGUGCCAGCAGCCGCGGUGAUACGUAGGGUGCGAGCGUUGUCCGGAUUUAUUGGGCGUAAAGGGCUCGUAGGUGGUUGAUCGCGUCGGAAGUGUAAUCUUGGGGCUUAACCCUGAGCGUGCUUUCGAUACGGGUUGACUUGAGGAAGGUAGGGGAGAAUGGAAUUCCUGGUGGAGCGGUGGAAUGCGCAGAUAUCAGGAGGAACACCAGUGGCGAAGGCGGUUCUCUGGGCCUUUCCUGACGCUGAGGAGCGAAAGCGUGGGGAGCGAACAGGCUUAGAUACCCUGGUAGUCCACGCUGUAAACGGUGGGUACUAGGUGUGGGGUCCAUUCCACGGGUUCCGUGCCGUAGCUAACGCUUUAAGUACCCCGCCUGGGGAGUACGGCCGCAAGGCUAAAACUCAAAGGAAUUGACGGGGCCCCGCACAAGCGGCGGAGCAUGCGGAUUAAUUCGAUGCAACGCGUAGAACCUUACCUGGGUUUGACAUGGAUCGGGAGUGCUCAGAGAUGGGUGUGCCUCUUUUGGGGUCGGUUCACAGGUGGUGCAUGGCUGUCGUCAGCUCGUGUCGUGAGAUGUUGGGUUAAGUCCCGCAACGAGCGCAACCCUUGUUCACUGUUGCCAGCACGUUAUGGUGGGGACUCAGUGGAGACCGCCGGGGUCAACUCGGAGGAAGGUGGGGAUGACGUCAAGUCAUCAUGCCCCUUAUGUCCAGGGCUUCACGCAUGCUACAAUGGCUGGUACAGAGAGUGGCGAGCCUGUGAGGGUGAGCGAAUCUCGGAAAGCCGGUCUCAGUUCGGAUUGGGGUCUGCAACUCGACCUCAUGAAGUCGGAGUCGCUAGUAAUCGCAGAUCAGCAACGCUGCGGUGAAUACGUUCCCGGG